CUAAAUGAAAGUUCAACUCUGUCAGUUGAAUACACACAACACAAGGAAGUUACUGAGAAUUCUUCUGUCUAGCCUUAUAUGAAAAAAUCCCGUUUCCACGGAAGGCCUCAAAGAGGUCAAAAUAUCCACGUGCAGACUUUACAAACAGAGUGUUUCCAAACUGCUGAAUGAAAAGAAAAGUUAAACUCUGAGAGUUGAACGCACACAUCGCCGAGCAGUUUCUGAGAAUGAUUCUGUCUAGUUUUUAUACGAAGAUAUUCCCUUUUCUACUAUUGACCUCAAAGCGGCUGAAAUCUCCACCUGCAAAUUCCACAAAAAGAGAGUUUCUAAUCUGCUCUGUGUAAAGGAUCGUUCAACUCUGUGAGUUGAAUACACACAACACAAGGAAGUUACUGAGAAUUCUUCUGUCUAGCAUAAUAUGAAGAAAUCCCGUUUCCAACGAAGGCCUCAAGGAGGUCUGAAUAUCCACUUGCAGACUUUACAAACAGAGUGUUUCCUAACUGCUCUAUGAAAAGAAAGUUUAAACUCUGUGAGUUGAACGAACACAUCACAACACAGUUUGUGCGAAUGAUUCUGUCUAGUUUUGAAAUGAAGAUAUUUCCUUUUCUGCCUUUGGCCUCAAAGCGCUUGAAAUCUCCAAUUGCAAAUUCCACAAAAAGAGUGUUUCAAAUCUGCUCUGUCUAAAUGAAAGUUCAACUGUGUCAGUUGAAUACACACAACACAAGGAAGUUACUGAGAAUUCUUCUGUCUAGCAUAGUAUGAAGAAAUCCCGUUUCCAACGAUGGCCUCAAAUAGGUCUGAAUAUCCACUUGCAGACUUUACAAACAGAGUGUUUCCUAACUGCUAUAUAAAAAGAAAGGUUAAACUCUGUGAGUUGAACGCACACAUCACAAAG
rnacentral:lncRNA from 1 species